UGUACAAGAAUACAUCUAGAAGCCUACUCCUGAGAGGUCAAGAGAAACUUAGACCAAUUGCUUCUGUGGUUUGCUUUUCUGCUUAUUUCAGAGUUCAACAGCUGACUUCUUCCAAGCGGCAUCAAAACAGGUCUCAAGGAAAUGAACAGCUGGCAAGUAGACAACAAAGGGAGGAAGAGGAGUGAAGGACACCACAAGAAAACUCGCAGAAUCAACUAACCUGGGAUCACAGAAGCUUACAGAGACUAAACCAACAACCAGGGAGCCUGCAUGGGACUGAUGAAAGAGAAGUACAAUGAACAAGCCUGAUUCUUUGUAUCUAGCAUCAAGCCCAAAGAAAGAUCCAGAAAUAAAAAGAGAACCUAUGGAUCCUUAAAAAAAUCUAGAAAAUAAAACUGUCAAAAAAGUGAGGAAGAGUUGCAUGGGAUCUUCAGAGAGAAAUCUACACAGUUACUUAAAG